ensembl:lncRNA
AUGCCAUCGGAUGGUGGAAGAGCAAGACUGGCUUCUCAGGGGAGGCGAAGUCCCGGUGGGAGGCUGCUCGGUCCCGGAAAGGGCUGCGUGCCGCGGUGGCCUCCAGAAGCCGGCACGGGCAGCGGGAGGCCGCUUCCCGCCCGCCCGGUCCCCGUCAGCCGGCCACGGACCGCGCAGCAGAAGCCAGGCGUCACCGCGGGCGGCUCCGGGCGCGGAGGCCAGCCCGAGCUGUCACCUGCGCGGCAAGGCUGGAGCCGCGCGGAAGCCGGACCGCCGCAGCGACACGAAGCCGGUACCUCGAGAAGCGCUCGAUCAGGAGAAGGGGGCGGAGGCCUCCCCAACGCCCUCGUGGCCGGCCGUUCCCCAUCGCCCAACGGCCCGCGAGUUGCGGUUUUUGGGGAGACGCGACGCGUUCCUGGAGGUUUGCUGCCGGCGCGGCCUAGCGAGAGCCCUUUCGCCGCUCCAUGCCUCGGCUUCCCCAUGGGAAGUGGCCACCUGCCUGGAGGAGCCAGCGGCGUUUCCGCAGCAAAGGACGAGCUCGGGAGCGGCGUGAGGGAGGACGCGGAAAAGAUGUCUACUCUCCUGCUGAGGAAACAUCCUUCCAUGGACUCCAGCAGCCCCAGCCUGAAAUCUGUAAGCAAAAUCUCCACAACUUGGCUUGACUUUGCUAGACACCGCUCAAACACAUCCAAAACAGAUAGUUUCCACCAUGAAGCUCUUCCAUAAAGUGAUUGCAUUCGCAGUGCAAGGGUCUGUGGAUGUUGGCAUGUGAUCGAGUGCUGGAAACAUUUUGCAUAAGACUCAUCCACGUGAGGGGCUCCCAGGUCGGCUCCUUGCUGGCUGCUCCGAGCAUGGUGCUCCCUGGAGCCCAGGACAGCGGCGUUCAUGCCAUGGGAUUUGUCCAGUGUGGAUUUCUAGAGAGUGCCUAUUUUGUCACAUCCGUCUCUGUUUAGGCCCGUUUCUGGUUUGCAUAUGCAUCACUGUGCCGGUGCCUGAUGCUGUCUGUCCAGGAUUUUCUUUUCAUAUCAGGUAAUCUGAUGUUUCCCCCUACAUAUGAAGAAAUACUGAGCUGUUUCCUUUUUAUAUAGAUUUAUUUCUUGAAGCCUAGAUAAAUCCAGAAAUUGCCUUUGCUUCCCUCAUGACAGCAAUUCCCCUAAUGUUAAUGGGAGUUAGGUCAAGAGCAGAGUAUGAAUCUGUGAAGCCAAUAAACACCUAGUCCCUGAUGAUGCA